AUACGUAGGGUGCAAGCGUUAAUCGGAAUUACUGGGCGUAAAGCGUGCGCAGGCGGUUUUGUAAGGCAGAGGUGAAAACCCCGGGCUCAACCUGGGAACUGCCUUUGUGACUGCAAGGCUAGAGUACGGCAGAGGGGGAUGGAAUUCCGCGUGUAGCAGUGAAAUGCGUAGAUAUGCGGGGGAACACCGAUGGCGAAGGCAAUCCCCUGGGCCUGUACUGACGCUCAUGCACGAAAGCGUGGGGAGCAAACAGGAUUAGAUGCCCUGGUAGUCCACGCCCUAAACGAUGUCAACUGGUUGUUGGGUCUUAACUGACUCAGUAACGAAGCUAACGCGUGAAGUUGACCGCCUGGGGAGUACGGCCGCAAGGUUGAAACUCAAAGGAAUUGACGGGG
rnacentral:rRNA from 1 species